CCUGACAAACGGCUACCACA
rnacentral:rRNA from 1 species